rnacentral:rRNA from 1 species
CACCGGAGCCACGAGUGGCAAUCGCGAUUAUUGGGCCUAAAGCGCCCGUAGCCGAUUUGAUAACUCUUUUGUGAAAGUGUUAGACUUAAUCUAACGAAUUGCAAGAGAAACUGUCAGGUUAGAGACCGGGAAGAGACAAGAGUAUUCUUUGGGAAGCGGUAAAAUGCUUUAAUCCUCAGAGGACUACCAAUGGCGAAGGCACUUGUCUAGAACGGGUCUGACGGUGAGGGACGAAAGCUAAGGGAGCAAACCGGAUUAGAUACCCCUGUA